ensembl:lncRNA
AGAGGACGGGACAUUAGAGGAUGGGACAGUAGAGGACGGGACAGUAGAGGAUGGGACAGUAGAGGACGGGACAGUAGAGGAUGGGACAGUAGAGGACGGGACAGUAGGGGACGGGACAGUAGAGGACGGGACAGUAGAGGAUGGGACAGGACAGUAGAGGACGGGACAGUAGAGGAUGGGACAGUAGAGGACAGGACAGUAGAGGACAGGACAGUAGGGGACGGGACAGUAGGGGACGGGACAGUAGAGGACGGGACAGUAGAGGACGGGACAGUAGAGGACUGGACAGUAUAGGACGGGACAGUAGAGGACAGGACAGUAGAGGACGGGGCAGUAGAGGACGGGACAGUAGAGGACGGGACAGUAGAGGACGGGACAGGACAGUAGAGGACGGGACAGUAGAGGAUGGGACAGGACAGUAGAGGACGGGACAGUAGAGGACGGGACAGUAGAGGACGGGACAGUAGGGGACGGGACAGUAGAGGAUGGUACAGUAGAGGACGGGACAGUAGAGGAUGGGACAGUAGAGGACGGACAGUAGAGGACGGGACAGUAGAGGACGGGACAGUAGAGGACGGGACAGUAGAGGACGGGACAGUAGGGGACGGGACAGUAGAGGACGGGACAGUAGAGGAUGGGACAGGACAGUAGAGGACGGGACAGUAGAGGACGGGACAGUAGAGGAUGGGGCAGUAGAGGAUGGGACAGUAGAGGACGGGGCCGUAGAGGACGGGACAGUAGAGGACAGGGACAGUAGAGGACAGGACAUAGAGGACGUGGCAGUAGAGGACGGGACAGUAGAGGACGGGACAGUAGAGGACGGGACAGUAGGGGACGGGACAGUAGAGGACAGGACAGUAGAGGACGGGACAGUAGAGUACACAGUAGAGGACGGGACAGUAGAAGACUGGACAGUAGAGGACGGACAGUAGGGGACGGGACAGUAGGGGACGGGACAGUAGGGGACGGUACAGUAGAGGACGGGACAGUAGGGGACGGGACAGUAGAGUACGGGGCAGUAGAGGACGG